GAUGAACGCUAGCUACAGGCUUAACACAUGCAAGUCGAGGGGCAGCCCAGUGUAGCAAUACAUGGGCGGCGACAGGCGCACGGGUGCGUAACGCGUAUCCAACCUUCCCGAUACUCCUGGAUAGCCUUCCGCAAGGGGGACUACUACCAGAUGGUGAUUCACUUUCGCAUGUUAUUGAAACUAAAGAUUUAUCGGUAUCGGUAGGGGAUGCGUGACAUUAGAUAGUAGGCGGGGUAACGGCCCACCUAGUCUACGAUGUCUAGGGGUUGGGAGAGGAAGGUCCCCCACACUGGAACUGAGACACGGUCCAGACUCCUACGGGAGGCAGCAGUGAGGAAUAUUGGUCAAUGGUCGGAAGACUGAACCAGCCAAGUAGCGUGAAGGAUGAAGGUUCUAUGGAUUGUAAACUUCUUUUAUACGGGAAUAAAACCACCUACGUGUAGGUGCUUGUAUGUACCGUAUGAAUAAGCAUCGGCUAACUCCGUGCCAGCAGCCGCAGUAACAC
rnacentral:rRNA from 1 species